AUUUCCAUUGCCUUAGCAAGUGCCAAGAUGAAUGGAUUCACUUUUCAUAUAAAAGUCAUUGGUAGUAGUCAGAGUCAGAUGGACAUGUAUCUGGUUAUAUCUCCACAGGCUUGAUACAGCAAGGAACACAUUUCCCAAGGGUGUCUCAUCAUUCAUUUUCGGUUCCAACUCUUGCUGCUUGGCCGUACUGAGCUAUUGUUGGGCUAGCUCAAUAGUCAACAGUUUAAUAGGGCCAGUUUAAUAGGGUUAGUGUGAUAGGGCUAGUUAGGGUUAGAUAGGAUUAG